UUAAAAUUUCUAGUUCCGUAAUAGAAAAGCUGUUAAUUACUUUUGCGCGCUCUUGGGAAUCAUGACAAAGUACUCUACGAAUUCAUGUUUAGAAUAUGAUUUCUAACCUCUUUGUUGCCGUGUGAGUAUAGGUGCCUAAAUUAUACUUUCACCCACGUGAUACAGAAAGAAUUAGAAGUGUUACUUACUAGAGAAACUUUCAAUAAACAUUUAGCAAUGGUAGUAUUUCAUAAAUGUCUAAAUCGACCUGCAGUUAAUGUUGAGUGCAAUAGGCUCUCCGUAAUUCCGCAGAUGCUUUGUUAGUUUGAGUGAGUUACGCGCUACUCGGUGCUGUUGAUUUGCAAGUGUUAAGGUGUACCUUCCCCAUCAAAACCUUUCAUUACCGGAUAAAAUCCCAGUUGUACUCAAUGCUUGAAACAUAAGUAAACUGCCAGGAAAUAUGGCCUUACAUCUGUACAUAACCGGUUAGCAUCAUAUCCGCAGUAGCUUAGAUCACUGUUAAUGAUUCCUGUGUCAAAUCAACAAACAGUGAAACAGAAAGAGCAAAAUACAUACGUCUAAAUAACAAAUGAAAAGCAGAAAUCAGAUUAGGCUAGAGCAAGGUGAGUGAGGAUUACAUUAAGAAGUUCAAAAAUUAGUCUAAAGCAACCUGGACUUUGAGAUUCAUCUGGCUAGAAGUAACGGUAUUAGCAAAAAUAUUUCCUGUGAUGCUGGUAUCAAACACCAGAUGAUUUCAACACAUUCCUCCUUAAGGUUGGUAAGGUGAAUAACACUGCUGUAGCCAUAAAUAUAACAUCCAUUACUGGAAUCGUGUAAAUCCCUACCUCCAAAAUUUUGCUGUAGUUCCUGUCUUUAAAUGGAAAGAGUUAAAUGGAAUCAAUAUUACAACUGAAAUAUGUGACAAGAAGACAGAAGAGACUGUCAGUGAGAACAUUCCAAAUGCCUUUUUGCAGUAUCAUCAUAGACUUUCACCAACUAACUUAUUAAACAAAAAAUGUCACAUCUGUUACGGUGGUACCAUAAAAAACUGGGCCGGUGUUACUCGUACUUUGGGCUAAUUUGACCCCCACGGCCAUAAUCUCUUCCUGAAAAAUGGUCACAUGGUAUUGGGAUGCAGUAAACUCAAUGCAUAUCUCUAGAGUAGACAUUCGGGAACAUGAGGAACAAAUAAACACUAAAUUUUGAAGAGAGAAACAGUGAUUGCUUAUGGCUGGCACCCUGAAGACCACAGCAACAUGUUUAAGUGGACAAGCCUUCAACUGCGACAUACGUCACAAUAUAGUCAUCCAAGCUCUAAGUGAAACAGUGAAAAGUGGUGUGAAUAUACAAAAGAACCCACAUCAGGGCAGUGAAGGUAGCUCUAACAACCCUAAUACGAGGGUUGGAACUUGAAUACUGGCAACUAUUUUUUACAGCCCAUACAAAAUAGAUCCAUGUUUCAAACUUUUACUGCCCUUCAAAUCAGUCACCAGCAUUGUGUAUAAUCCGUUGCCAGUGAUGUGGAAGUCUUAGGAUACUCAUAGCAUUGCCAGUUGUGUUGACAGUUCGACCAGCACAGUGUAUUGCCUGAUGUAUUUGUAGCAGUAAUG